UACGGGGGGGGCAAGCGUUGUUCGGAAUUACUGGGCGUAAAGGGCUCGUAGGCGGCCAACUAAGUCGGAUGUGAAAUCCCCAGGCUCAACCUGGGAACUGCAUCCGAUACUGGAUGGCUUGAAUUCGGGAGAGGGAUGCAGAAUUCCAGGUGUAGCGGUGAAAUGCGUAGAUAUCUGGAGGAAUACCGGUGGCGAAGGCGGCAUCCUGGACCGAGAUUGACGCUGAGGAGCGAAAGCCAGGGGAGCGAACGGG
rnacentral:rRNA from 1 species